UAUGGUUCUUAUAGUUGAAUAGUACAACGGUGGUUUUUCAUAUCACAGGUCAUGGGGUAGCCAUGUGGGAAUAAUG
rnacentral:tRNA from 1 species